UACGUAGGGGGCAAGCGUUGUCCGGAAUUAUUGGGCGUAAAGGGCUCGUAGGCGGUUUGUCGCGUCGGGAGUGAAAACACCGGGCUUAACUCGGUGCUUGCUUUCGAUACGGGCAGACUAGAGGUAUGCAGGGGAGAACGGAAUUCCUGGUGUAGCGGUGAAAUGCGCAGAUAUCAGGAGGAACACCGGUGGCGAAGGCGGUUCUCUGGGCAUUACCUGACGCUGAGGAGCGAAAGUGUGGGGAGCGAACAGG
rnacentral:rRNA from 1 species